rnacentral:rRNA from 1 species
GUAGGUGGCAAGCGUUGUCCGGAAUUAUUGGGCGUAAAGCGCGCGCAGGCGGUUCUUUAAGUCUGAUGUGAAAGCCCACGGGCUCAACCGUGGAGGGUCAUCGGAAACCGGAGAACUUGAGUACAGAAGAGGAAAGCGGGAUUCCACGUGUAGCGGUGAAAUGCGUAGAGAUGUGGAGGAACACCAGUGGCGAAGGCGGCUUUCUGGUCUGUAACUGACGCUGAGGCGCGAAAGCGUGGGGAGCAAACAGGAUUAGAUACCCUGGUAGUCCACGCCGUAAACGAUGAGUGCUAAGUGUUAGGGGGUUUCCGCCCCUUAGUGCUGCAGCUAACGCAUUAAGCACUCCGCCUGGGGAGUACGGCCGCAAAGGCUG